rnacentral:lncRNA from 1 species
UUUUAGCUUAUAAUAGGCUCUUAUAUUUUUAGUCCAAGGGCAUGGACUUUCCUGUACUAACUGAGAGAAACCCCUUGUCACUUAUAAGUCAAAGGGGAUGGAUAUGAUUAUGCACCAGCUUCUUUGUCACUAUGAAAAUCUAAUAACAGCUUAUUUUCCUCAGCAAGAGUUUGAAUUCCAAUCAGUUCGUUAUCAUUUCUCUGUGUGGUAGCUGGCUAGCUAGUUUGAAAUGCCUAAUAUUGAGAAAUAUGUUAAAGGAUAACAAUGAAUACAAUUCAACUUUAC